rnacentral:rRNA from 1 species
UACGUAGGUGGCGAGCGUUGUCCGGAUUUACUGGGCGUAAAGGGCGCGUAGGCGGUCAGCACAAGUCAGUUGUGAAAUCUCCGAGCUUAACUCGGAAAGGUCAACUGAUACUGUGCGACUAGAGUGCGGAAGGGGCAACUGGAAUUCUUGGUGUAGCGGUGAAAUGCGUAGAUAUCAAGAGGAACACCUGCGGCGAAGGCGGGUUGCUGGGCCGACACUGACGCUGAAGUGCGAAAGCCAGGGGAGCGAACGGG